UAUAUUUUAGUGUAAAAUGCACAUUAAUUUUUGAUAUUAGUAGAUAUAGUUUAAUUCUAUAAAAUAUAA
rnacentral:tRNA from 1 species